UACGGAGGGUGCAAGCGUUAUCCGGAUUCACUGGGUUUAAAGGGUGCGUAGGUGGGCAGGUAAGUCAGUGGUGAAAUCUCCGGGCUUAACCCGGAAACUGCCAUUGAUACUAUCAGUCUUGAAUACCGUGGAGGUAAGCGGAAUAUGUCAUGUAGCGGUGAAAUGCUUAGAUAUGACAUAGAACACCGAUUGCGAAGGCAGCUUACUACCCGAAUAUUGACACUGAGGCACGAAAGCGUGGGGAUCAAACAGG
rnacentral:rRNA from 1 species